rnacentral:rRNA from 1 species
GACGAACGCUGGCGGCGUGCUUAACACAUGCAAGUCGAACGGAAAGGCCCUGCUUUUGUGGGGUGCUCGAGUGGCGAACGGGUGAGUAACACGUGAGUAACCUGCCCUUGGCUUUGGGAUAACUUCAGGAAACUGGGGCUAAUACCGGAUAGGAGCUCCUGCUGCAUGGUGGGGGUUGGAAAGUUUCGGCGGUUGGGGAUGGACUCGCGGCUUAUCAGCUUGUUGGUGGGGUAGUGGCUUACCAAGGCUUUGACGGGUAGCCGGCCUGAGAGGGUGACCGGCCACAUUGGGACUGAGAUACGGCCCAGACUCCUACGGGAGGCAGCAGUGGGGAAUAUUGCACAAUGGGCGGAAGCCUGAUGUAGCAACGCCGCGUGCGGGAUGACGGCCUUCGGGUUGUAAACCGCUUUCGCCUGUGACGAAGCGUGAGUGACGGUAAUGGGUAAAGAAGCACCGGCUAACUACGUG